rnacentral:rRNA from 1 species
GAUCCUGGCUCAGGACGAACGCUGGCGGCGUGCUUAACACAUGCAAGUCGAACGAAGAGCGAUGGAAGCUUGCUUCUAUCAAUCUUAGUGGCGAACGGGUGAGUAACGCGUAAUCAACCUGCCCUUCAGAGGGGGGAGUAACAGUUGGAAACGACUGCUAAUACCGCAUACGAUCUAAUCUCGGCAUCGAGGAUAGAUGAAAGGUGGCCUCUACAUGUAAGCUAUC